rnacentral:rRNA from 2 species
GUUCCCCCCCCUCUUCNCCACACACAAUNCCCCCGUAGCCGACCCCCGAGGGNGAUNGGGCACAGGGGGAUUGAGACAAGGUUCAGACUCCGCCGGGAGGCAGCAGUAGGGAAUCUUUUUCAAUGNACGAAAGUCUGACGGAGCAACGCCGCGUGAGUGAUGAAGGUUUUCGGAUCGUAAAGCUCUGUUGUUAGGGAAGAACAAGUACCGUUCGAAUAGGGCGGUACNUUGACGGUACCUAACCAGAAAGCCACGGCUAACUACGUGCCAGCAGCCGCGGUAAUACGUAGGUGGCAAGCGUUGUCCGGAAUUAUUGGGCGUAAAGGGCUCGCAGGCGGUUUCUUAAGUCAGAUGUGAAAGCCCCCGGCUCAACCGGGGAGGGUCAUUGGAAACUGGGGAACUUGAGUGCAGAAGAGGAGAGUGGAAUUCCACGUGUAGCGGUGAAAUGCGUAGAGAUGUGGAGGAACACCAGUGGCGAAGGCGACUCUCUGGUCUGUAACUGACGCUGAGGAGCGAAAGCGUGGGGAGCGAACAGGAUUAGAUACCCUGGUAGUCCACGCCGUAAACGAUGAGUGCUAAGUGUUAGGGGGUUUCCGCCCCUUAGUGCUGCAGCUAACGCAUUAAGCACUCCGCCUGGGGAGUACGGUCGCAAGACUGAAACUCAAAGGAAUUGACGGGGGCCCGCACAAGCGGUGGAGCAUGUGGUUUAAUUCGAAGCAACGCGAAGAACCUUACCAGGUCUUGACAUCCUCUGACAAUCCUAGAGAUAGGACGUCCCCUUCGGGGGCAGAGUGACAGGUGGUGCAUGGUUGUCGUCNGCUCGUGUCAUGAGAGGUUGGGUUAAGUCCCGUUUUUAANCAACCCUUGAUCUUANUUGGCAGCAUUCACCUGGGUACUCUAAGGGGACUGCCGGUGAGGAACGGGACGAAAGUGCGGGUGAUUUCA